rnacentral:rRNA from 1 species
GUGGGGAAUAUUGCACAAUGGGGGAAACCCUGAUGCAGCGACGCCGCGUGAGCGAAGAAGUAUUUCGGUAUGUAAAGCUCUAUCAGCAGGGAAGAAAAUGACGGUACCUGACUAAGAAGCACCGGCUAAAUACGUGCCAGCAGCCGCGGUAAUACGUAUGGUGCAAGCGUUAUCCGGAUUUACUGGGUGUAAAGGGAGCGUAGACGGUGAUGUAAGUCUGAAGUGAAAGCCCGGGGCUCAACCCCGGGACUGCUUUGGAAACUAUGUGACUAGAGUGUCGGAGAGGCAAGUGGAAUUCCCAGUGUAGCGGUGAAAUGCGUAGAUAUUGGGAGGAACACCAGUGGCGAAGGCGGCUUGCUGGACGAUAACUGACGUUGAGGCUCGAAAGCGUGGGGAGCAAACAGGAUUAGAUACCCUAGUAGUCC